AGCUACACAACGAGAUGAAGAUGGUCAUUAUCAUUUUCUGAGCUGCGAACGGGCAGAAAGCUAAUCAACGAGAUGAGGAUUGUCAUUGUCAUUUUCUAAGCUGCGAACGGGCAGAAAGCUACACAACGAGAUGAAGAUGGUCAUUAUCAUUUUCUGAGCUGCGAACAUGCAGAAAGCUGCACAACGAGAUGAGGAUGGUCAUUGUCAUUUUCUAAGCUGCGACCGGGCAGAAAG